GAUGGAUUUUCGGUCACCCGCAUAUGUGAAGAGAUUUGAGGGGAUUGAAUGUAAAAGGACUUAUUUGCCCUUCGAUUUCAAGUGCAUAUUUUGGCUUUAUUUUUUUUAUUUUUAAUGUUGCAGAGAUGCAGACGAGGUUGAUGUCCGUACGAAGAUGAAGAAAAAGAUGGUUAAAGAUGAAUAUGAAUAUUUGAGGACGAAGAAGAUGAAGAAGUAAUAGUUGAAAAUGAGAUUUGAAGAGAGGAGUAUUCGGUCAUGCAACCCAUAUUCGGUUCCAGGAUUAAGAAGAAAAAUAUAGGAACCUGUAUUCGCUUCCCUUUUCUUUUUAUUUGGUUCCCAAGCAUUGUAUACAAAGACAUUCUGUGUGUUUUUGUUUUUGGUUGUGAUUGUUUUUUAUUGCCCUCUGUUGUUGUUUGCAUGAAAUACUGGGAAAUGUUCUUAA
rnacentral:lncRNA from 1 species